rnacentral:rRNA from 1 species
UACGGGGGAUGCAAGCGUUAUCCGGAAUUAUUGGGCGUAAAGGGUCCUGAGGUGGCUAGCCAAGUCUAUUGUGAAAUAUCAGGGCUUAACCCUGAACAUGCGGUGGAAACUAGAAAGCUUGAGUACAGUAGGGGCGGAGGGAAUUCCGGUGGAGCGGUGAAAUGCAUAGAUAUCGGGAAGAACACCAACGGCGAAAGCACUCCGCUGGGCUGAUACUGACACUGAGAGACGAAAGCUAGGGGAGCGAAUGGG